rnacentral:lncRNA from 1 species
UAUUAUUUUCUGUUCUCCAGGCCCCAGGAGAGUGAACCAGAGGCUUACUGUGUUUUUAAAAUAUUUCCAGUGAAAUAUUUGGCAGGUGUUUUGCUUUUACCCAGUAACUUUAAAGGUUAUAAAGAUACAGUUUAGAAAGUGUAGGCUUUGUUUUUAAUUUUCUUUAGGCCAGGUGUGAUAUCUAACAGGCAUGAAAUAAAAAAUGAAAGAGAGGUAUUUAGUAUGCAGCUUGACUAAUUAAGAUGUCAGAAAGAAGACAAGUAAAUGGAAAUUACCAGGCCAGGGACUGAACCCGUGCCACAGCAGUGACCCAGUCCUUGCAGUGAUAAUGCCAGAUCUCUAACCCUCUGCACCACAAAAGAAUUCCAGUAGCUUUUCUAAAGAAGCAGUCUCGACUAUAUUGGCUUACAGGUUGGCGUUUCAGUGCACACUAUCCAAGAUGACUAUUUAAUCUGUGGCAGUGAUCUCAAUUUUUGCGGGGGAGGGGGGCAUCUCUUGGAAUGCUUUGCAAAUCUAAUUAAAUCUGUAAGCCCUCUGCCAUAAAUUUUAUAAACCUAAAACUCUUUAAACAGAUGCAAGGGUUUUAAACUCACUGAAGGUCUUCAUAGAGGGUUGGCGACACAAAUUACAAUCCGUGUCCAUAAGGCCUGACAGGGGUACCUAUAUGAAUAGGAAAGGCCGUGGGUGGCUUUAUAGAGUCUGGUUUAGGAGGCUAGAAAUUGUUCACUCUCUUGACAGUUAAGGCUGCUUAUUUCUCUCAGUAGUUUACUUUUUAUCACUGUCAAUACUUUGCUCAUGGGUCUUUCUUUUUUCCCCUGAAUUCGAUUAUUAUAAUUCUUCAUUAUGUGCAUAUGCUUUGGAACCAAACAUUUUAAGUAUUUUCUUUAAAUGAAGCCAGAUGUUUUUUAUUAAGAAUCUGACAGAGAAAACAAUUUUAGUUCAGUUAUGGAAAAAUAAAAAUACUUAUUUCCCUUUUGGUUAGUUAAUAUUGAGUACAAAAAGACAUGUGAUUUCUCGAAGCCAGGCUGGGUGGUAUGGUUAUGGUAUCAGUAUUGUCGGCAAACUUUUUGAGAAAAUUUGGUAUUGCUAAACUUGGGUUGGAAUUUAUCUUAAAGGAGCCAGUUAAAUCAAUUUUUUUCUUCUUUUGCUAGUAGUCACAUAUAAAACACCUGGCAAAUAGUAGUAUUUUAACAUUUCAUUUAUUAGUGGGGAUAGGCUGGUAAUUCAAAUAACUUAACUUCAAGAAAUAUUUACUAAGAACUUACCAUGAGGCUUAUGAGUCAAGUAAGUCCAUCAGAAUCAUGAUGAAAGGGAAAACUGAUUUUUCAAAAACACAAGAAAGUUGUAGUCACCUAAGUAGUAAACUGAAAUGUAUCAGGGUUUGAGCAGUUAGGGAGUGAGGUAGGGAGAUGUAAGAAUAGAAAUCUCAGUUGACCUUGUCACUAGGAACAUUACUCUUUGAGUGGCACUGAGAUAAUUGUGUUGCACUCUCUGGGAAGCUUAAAUAAUUUACUCCUUAGCUAUGCUGCGAACAAUUGAGCAAUAAUAAUGGAAAUAUUGUCUGAUAGUUUUCAACAUUUACAGUUAACCUACAUACUAAGUGCAAAAAUAUAAAUUUUUCAGGACAGAAUAUAAAUGUUAUCAACCUCGACAAUGGAAAAGUCAAUGUAUUCCUAAUUGAAGUUGGAAAAAAGGAAGAGAGAGAAAAUGUGGAAGGAAGAUAGGGUUGCUAAGUUGUGUAGCUUAUAAAUGUAGGGAGUGAAGAGAGUCUAUCUCUAGUGGGUGGAAAAAGAACUAUAUUGUAUUAAUAAUCUAAACUUAUAGAGGUAACCAGUAAACAUCUGUUGUUGGCAAGUGUGCCUUAUAAGAAUUACUAAAAGGAGUCCUUUGGGCUGAAACAAAAGGACACUAGAUACUGACAUGAAUCCACCUAAAGAAAUAAAAAGCACCAGUAAAAUUAACCUCAGAGGUAAAUUUAAAAGACUGAAUAGGACUUCCCGUGUGGCUCACAACAUAACUACUCGGCGUUGCUUCUAAAAGACUGAAUAAUGUAUUUUUCUGUCUGUAACUAUUUCUUCCUCCUGUGUAAUUUAAAAAACAAUUGCAUUACAAAUAAUUAUAAAUAUUAAUUGAUGGUCAUACAAGACAAAAAAUGUAAUUUAUUUGACAGUUAUAGCAUAAAGGAGGGGAAAGAGAAUGGCAGUAUAGAGGAACAAUAUUCUUAUUUAUCUUAGAAUUAAGUUGGUAUUAGUCUCAAAUAGAUUGUUAUAAUUUAAAAUAUUACUUCUAAUCCUGAAAGUAACCACUAAGAAAAUAAUUCUAAAAAUACAUAUUGUAAAAAAACAAGGGUGUUAAAAUGGUACACUAGAAAACAUCAUUUAACACUAAAUGAGGAAAUAACAGGGGAAUAGAGGAACCAAACAGGCAUAAGACAUGUAGAAAACAUAACAGAAUGGCACAUAUAAAUGCUAUCUUAUUAAUAAUUACAUUAAAUAUAAAUGGAUUAAACACUCCAAUCAAAAGGCAAAGUUUGUCAGAAUGGGUAAAAAAUGAUCUGCUACUUUCUACAUACAAGACACAUCAGAUUCAAACACAUAUAGAGGUUGGAAGUAAAAGAAUAGAUAAAUGUAUACCAUGCAAACAAUAAUCAAAAGAGAGCUAGAGUGGCUGUGCUAUUAUUAGAAAAAAUAGACUUUAAGACAAAAAUUUUUACUAGAGAAAAAGAAAGAAUUCAAUAACUAGACCUAAGAACAACAAUGAAAUAACAAGGAAACAGACGAUUUGAAACAAUGCAAUAAGCCAACUAAUCCUAACAAAAACACAUAGAAUGCCUUGCUCAAGUGCACAUUGAAAUUCUCUAGGGUAGACCAUAUCUUGGGUCAUAAAAAAAUGACUCAAUAAAUCUAAAGAAGUUGAAGUCAUGCAGUUGUAUGUUCUUUGAACACAAUGGAAUAAAAUUUAAAAUGGUAGCAGAAGGAAAUUUGGGAAUCACAAAUAUGUGGAAGUAAAACAUACAUUCUUAAACAACCAAUGGAUAAAAGGAGAAAUCAAAAGGAAAUUAGAAAAUAUUUUAAGAUGAAUGAAAAUGAAAACACAUCAUAACAAAACUUUUGUGAUAAAACUUAGCAACAUUGCUUAGUGAAAUUUAUAGCUGUAAAUGCUUAUAUUAAAGAAGAAAGAUCUCUUUUACUUUAGGAAACUGGAAAAAAGAAGAGCAAACUAAAUCCAAAGCAAGCAGUAGAAAGGAAAUAAUACAGAUUAGAGAAAAAUAAAUGAAAUAGGUAAUAGGAAUACAGUAUAGAAAAUGUAAUAGAGAAAACCAAAAGUUCAUUCUUUGAACAUAUCAACACAAUUGUCAAAACUUUAGCUAGACUGACAAAGAGAAAAUAUUCAAAUUAGUUUAGCCAGGAGUAAAAGAAGCAAUAUCACUACUGACCUUACAGAAAUAAAAAGGCCUGAAAGUAAAUACUAUGAAUAAUUGCAUGCCAAAAAAUUAGAUAAUCUAGCUAAAAAUGGACAGAUUCCUAGAAAGUCACAUUACCAAAAUUGAUUUGCAAAGACAGAAAGACUGUGUGCAGAAAAAUUGCAUAGGCCUAUAAUAAGUAAACAAAUUGAAUUAGUAAUCAAAAAACUUUACAUAAGAAUGCCAGGACUCAAUGACGAAUUCACUAGUGAAGUCUACCAGAUGUUUAAAGAAGAAUUAACACAGAUUUUUCACAGAAUCUUCCAAAAAAUAGGAGGGAACACUUCCCAACUCAUCUCUAUAAGGUCAGUAUUACUGCUGUACCAAAACCAGACAAAGAUAUCACAAAGAAAAAAAUAUUAUGAAUGUAUAAGCUACAAAUAUAAAGGCAAAAACCCUCAACAAAGUACCAACAAGCUGAAUCCAACAAGACAUAAUAAGAACUAGACACCAUCACUAAGAGGGUUUAUUCCAGAAAUGCAAGCUUGUUUCAAGAUAUAAAAAUCAAUCAAUGUGACACACCAUACUAAUAAAAGAUAAAAAUUAUGUGAUCUUCUCAGUUGAUACAGGAUUUAACAAAUCCUAUGUCCUUUUAUGAUAAAAAUAUUCAACCAACUAAUAGAAGGAAAUAUUCUCAAUCUGAUAAAGGCCAUCUAUGAAAAAUUCACUGCUAACAUCAAACUUAAAGAUGAAAGAUGGAAAGCUCUUCUGCUAAAAUUAGGAACAAGACAAGGAUGUCUACUCUCAAACAGGGCAAUUAGGCAAGAAAAAGGAAUAAAAUCAUACAGAUCAGAAAAGAAGAAUUAAAACUAUCUGUAUUCACAGAUGACAUGAUUUUGCAUAUAGAAAAUCCUUAGGAAUUCUCUCUCUCACACACACACAAACUAUUAUAGACAAUAAAUAGCAGAGCAGAUUUGUAGGACACAGGGUCAAUGUAUGAAAAUUAGUUAUAUUUCUAUACAAUAGCAGUGAAAUACCCCAAACUAUAGUUACAAAAAUAAUUCCUUAUAUAAAAACCCAAUUAGGGAGUUCCCAUCCUGGCACAGUGGUUAACAAAUCCGACUAGGAACCGUGAGGUUGCGGGUUCAAUCCCUGGCCUUGCUUAGUGGGUUAAGGAUCUGGCUGUGAGCUGUGGUGUAGGUCGCAGACGCAGCUCAGAUCCUGCGUUGCUGUGGCUCUGGUGUAGGCCAGUGGCUACAGCUCCAAUUAGACACCUAGCCUGGGAACCUCCAUAUGCUGUGGGAGCGGCCCUAGAAAAGGCAAAAUGAUCAAAAAAAAAAGAAAAAGCCCAAUUAGAUAUAUAUUUAAUACGUGGAAAACUUGUACAUCAAAAACUGCAAAACAUCUUUAAAGAAAUAUUAAAAUAUCAAAAUGAAUGGAAAUACAUCUGGUAUUCAUGGGUUGAAAUAUUUAAUAUUGUUAAAGUGGAAAUAAUCCCCAAAUUGGUCUAUGGGGAAUAUGGAUGGAUCCAUUACAUUACAGUAUGGAUCCAUUACAUUUCCUUUUAAGUCAUAGCUACUUUUUUUUUUUUUCAGAAAUGGACAAACUGACCACAAUAUUCUAUAGAAAUGCAUAGGAUGGAGUAUGGACAAAGUACUUUUUAAAAACAGUAAAGUCGGAGGACUUACAUGUCCUACUUUCAAAAUCUACUGCAGGAGUUCCUGUUGUGUCUCAGUGGAUUAAGAACUGGACACAGGGUCCUUUCCGUGAGAGUGUGGGUUCAAUCCCUGGCCUCACUCAGUGGGUUAAGGAUGGGUGUUGCCACAAGCUGUGGCAUAGGUUACAGAUGCGGCUUGGAUCCCAUGUCGCUGUGGCUGUAGCGUAAACUGUCAGCUGUAGCUCUAAUUCCACCUUUAGCCUGGGAACUUCCAUAUGCUGCAAGUGAAGCCCUAAAAAGAAAAAAAAAAAAA